rnacentral:rRNA from 1 species
UACGUAGGGUGCGAGCGUUGUCCGGAAUUAUUGGGCGUAAAGAGCUCGUAGGUGGUUUGUCGCGUUGUUCGUGAAAACUCACAGCCAUCAGUGGUCGGCGUGGCGGGCGAUGACGGGCAGUACGUUGAGUACUGCAGGGGAGACUGGAAGUUCCUGGUGUAGCGGUGGAAUGCGCAGAUAUCAGGAGGAACACCGGUGGCGAAGGCGGGUCUCUGGGCCGAUACUGACGCUGAGGAGCGAAAGCGUGGGGAGCGAACAGG